rnacentral:rRNA from 1 species
AGUGAACGCUGGCGGUAGGCCUAACACAUGCAAGUCGAACGGCAGCACAGUAAGAGCUUGCUCUUACGGGUGGCGAGUGGCGGACGGGUGAGGAAUACAUCGGAAUCUACUUUUUCGUGGGGGAUAACGUAGGGAAACUUACGCUAAUACCGCAUACGACCUACGGGUGAAAGCAGGGGAGCUUCGGAGGUUGCGCGUGUGAAUGAGCCGAUGUCGGAUUGGCUAGUGGGCGGGGUAAAGGCCCACCAAGGCGAGGAGCCGUAGCUGGUCUGAGAGGCUGAUCGGCCACACUGGAACUGGGACGCGGUCCAGACUCCUACGGGAGGCCGCAGUGGGGAAUAUUGGACAAUGGGCGCGAGCCUGGUCCAGUCAUCCCGAGUGGGUGAAGACGGCCUUCGGGUUGUAAAGCCCUUUUGUUGGGAAAGAACAGCAGCCGGUUAAUACCCAGCUGUUCUGACGGUACCUAAAGAAUAAGCACCGGCUAACUUCGUG